AACGAACGCUGGCGGCAUGCCUAAUACAUGCAAGUCGAACGAGAUCUUCGGAUCUAGUGGCGCACGGGUGCGUAACGCGUGGGAAUCUGCCCUUGGGUUCGGAAUAACUUCUGGAAACGGAAGCUAAUACCGGAUGAUGACGUAAGUCCAAAGAUUUAUCGCCCAAGGAUGAGCCCGCGUAGGAUUAGCUAGUUGGUGGGGUAAAGGCCCACCAAGGCGACGAUCCUUAGCUGGUCUGAGAGGAUGAUCAGCCACACUGGGACUGAGACACGGCCCAGACUCCUACGGGAGGCAGCAGUAGGGAAUAUUGGACGAUGGGCGAAAGCCUGAUCCAGCAAUGCCGCGUGAGUGAUGAAGGCCUUAGGGUUGUAAAGCUCUUUUACCCGGGAUGAUAAUGACAGUACCGGGAGAAUAAGCUCCGGCUAACUCCGUG
rnacentral:rRNA from 1 species